GACACUUUGGCCGAGUGGUUAAGGCGAUGCCCUGCUAUUGAAGCUGCGAAGGCAUUGGGGUUUCCCCGCGUGUGUUCGAAUCGCACAGGUGUCG